AACAAAUAAAUCAAAACUUUCAACAACGGAUCUCUUGGUUCUGGCAUCGAUGAAGAACGCAGCGAAAUGCGAUAAGUAAUGUGAAUUGCAGAAUUCAGUGAAUCAUCGAAUCUUUGAACGCACAUUGCGCCCGCCAGUAUUCUGGCGGGCAUGCCUGUUCGAGCGUC
rnacentral:rRNA from 1 species